rnacentral:tRNA from 3 species
ACGCCAUUAGCUCAGCUGGAUAGAGCAAUAGCCUUCUAAGCUAAAGGUCACAGGUUCGAAUCCUGUAUGGCGUA